AGAGUUUGAUCCUGGCUCAGGAUGAACGCUAGCGACAGGCUUAACACAUGCAAGUCGAGGGGCAGCAUUGUUUGUAGCAAUACGAACAGAUGGCGACCGGCGCACGGGUGAGUAACGCGUAUGCAACCUGCCUAUCAGAGGGGAAUAACCCGGCGAAAGUCGGACUAAUACCGCAUAAAACAGGGGGCCCGCAUGGGAAUAUUUGUUAAAGAGUUAUCGCUGAUAGAUGGGCAUGCGUUCCAUUAGAUAGUUGGUGGGGUAACGGCCCACCAAGUCCACGAUGGAUAGGGGUUCUGAGAGGAAGGUCCCCCACACUGGUACUGAGACACGGACCAG
rnacentral:rRNA from 1 species